rnacentral:sRNA from 1 species
UCAGGGGUUUCCCCCGCCCUGGUAGUCUUAGUAAGCCGGGAAGCUUAUGACUAAGAGCACCACGAUGAUGAUCCACUUCAUCAUGA